ensembl:lncRNA
UUCACAUCUCCUGGACUCCAGAAUCUGACAAUGUAGAUGGAGCGUUUCCAUCCUUGGUUUGAUUCCUGGAGGAAACAUGAAUCGCUUGUGGAUUGUGCCACGAAGGGCAUCCAAGCAUGUGGAGCUGCCUGCUGUGGCAACCCCUCGUGAUAAGGGAGGAGCUGAAAGCUGGAGGAUGAAGGACAGCCACCUGCAGGCCUGAUGGGUGUGGCCCUGCCAGCUGCUGGUCACGCCUAGCUUACCACACACCUGCUUCUGAUCAGGAUCGUCGGGGGAGCUACUUAACAGAGCGAUGGAGCUUCCUCCGGCGCAGGAUCGUUGAGUUAGACUCCAU